GCCCGGGUGGUGAAAUCGGUAGACACAAGGGACCUAAAAUUCCUCGCUCGCAAGGGCAUGCCGGUUCGAUUCCGGCCCCGGGCACCA
rnacentral:tRNA from 1 species